ACAAGGAAUGGGGAGGAAGUAGAAACACGGUUCCGGUCUGGGGCUGAGUUUCAUCUUCCAAUCCAGGUUUUAUUGGGUUUUAAAACUUAAUUUUUGAAUACUCAUUUGACUCCUGUGCUUGUUUCUCAAUUGCUUCUGGACAUGGAGAGGAAAAGGGCACAUGAUGAUUUGGGAAAGAAAAAACAAAACAAACUUGAAUGUGGAAAUAUGAUCACUUAUGACAGAAGAGCUGAUGAUUAUUCAGAAAUAUAGUCAUCCACAUCUUUGAGAUAUUGGACUGGCAAAAAUAAAUGAAUUUCAUCUGAAGAGAAUUAACACAAGCAUACACAUAUACACAGGAGCGCACAUAAAAAUUAAUCUUCAAGAGGAUAGAAACGGGAUGGUGUAGUUCCUGCCAUGAAGUACAGGUCAACUGGUACCAGAAAUUCAAAAUUGUGGAAUGGAUC